rnacentral:rRNA from 1 species
UGGCCAGACUCCUACGGGAGGCAGCAGUGAGGAAUAUUGGUCAAUGGGCGCGAGCCUGAACCAGCCAAGUAGCGUGAAGGAUGACUGCCCUACGGGUUGUAAACUUCUUUUAUAAAGGAAUAAAGUGAGGCACGUGUGCCUUUUUGCAUGUACUUUAUGAAUAAGGAUCGGCUAACUCCGUGCCAGCAGCCGCGGUAAUACGGGGGAUGCAAGCGUUAUCCGGAUUUAUUGGGUUUAAAGGGUGCGUAGGCUGUGAGGUAAGUCAGCGGUGAAAUGCCCCCGCUCAACGGGGUGAAGUGCCAUUGAUACUGCCUUGCUGGAAUGCGGAUGCCGUGGGAGGAAUGUGUGGUGUAGCGGUGAAAUGCAUAGAUAUCACGCAGAACUCCGAUUGCGAAGGCAGCAUACCGGCGCCCAACUGACGCUGAAGCACGAAAGCGUGGGUAUCGAACAGGAUUAGAUACCCUGGUAUU